AAAAAAACGAUCCAUGUAAGUCUUAGGCUGUGAAUGGUGACCAAAACCGUACCUAAAACCGUACCGCAACAGUGCUAUAACAGUAUCAAAAUCUCUACAUAUACAUAUAUAUAUCUAUGUAUUUUUGUGACUAUUUGAAUUGCACCGCACUUCUCCCGCACCGCAAAACGCAGUCACCAUUCGGAGCCUUAAUUUCCCUAACAAUUCUUUUUGUCACCAACAUUACCUUAGCCUUAAGUUUGCAU
rnacentral:sRNA from 1 species